UCUCAUCUUUAUCUCCUAUCUUUCAGACUCCCAUCUGAGCUUGUUUUCAGACAGGACUUAAAAAUAGAAAAUAAAUGGCACAGUAGCCACAAGGGGAGGACUCAGAGCCUUUGAUUGCCAGAGGAUGAUAUUCCAUUUGAAGAAUAUUUGGCUCAUUUAAGCUGGAAAGACAUUGCAAGGAGUUGCAAAGUGAAAAGACAGAAAACAGCUACGUUCAGUUUCUUCACUUGUAUGAGAUUUCCUACUGCAUAGAAUAAUGGAAUCACCAAGACUGUAAAACACCUGCAAGGUAAUUGAGUUCUACUGUUAAUCCAGCAUCACUGUGUCCAUCACUAAAAUAUAUUCCCAAAUGCCACCUUCACACGCCUUUUGAACACAUACAGGGAUGGUAAUUUCAACAUUUCCCUGGGCAUCCUGUUUCAAUUCCUGACCAGGUUCCAUGGUAGGAAACAGAAAACCAGAGCUUUUUCAGCUCUUUCACUGUCUCUUUCCUGCCCGCCUGACAUUUGGGGAGCAGAGUAGCAAAUUCCCAUUUAUUUCUGCAUGGGCAGAUGUUUUUGUGACAUAAGAAGAUACUAGGCAAGAAAAAACAAUGCAACUGCAAGAAAGUAAAGGUCUUUGUUUAGAUCUGAAAUAAAAGAAAUGAAAUAAUUCA
rnacentral:lncRNA from 1 species